CCUCCAGCGGGCACAAGAAAGAGGCAGGCAUUCCUCAGGCCUUAUCUCUCUGGUUCUGUCUGCUACAUAUGACACCUUGCGAUGGCUCUCACCUUCUGGAAUCUCUCUACUACCUUGGUUUCAGGAGAGUGAACCCUCUCAAUUAUCACAUGAAGCCUCCCCAGGUGCUUCCUGUGUCCUGUCUCUAAAUGUUGCUGUUCCCCAGGGCUUAACCUAGGACCCAUUCCUGUGUCUACACAAGGGAACACGAUGCACAUGGAUGAUCAAUGGUCAGUUCCUGGUCAAUGCUUCUGUAUGGUGGAGGGGCCUAGACAUCAGUCCUGGAGCCUCUUCUCAUCUCUGCCAUUCCCUCUGUUAUCUGGUCCAGUGCAGUGGCCUUCUGUAUCCUUUUACUCCUAAAUGCCUCUUCAGAUUCAGAUUUCCAAGGACCAUCAACACGGCCGUGUGGAUGUUCCAUAAGCAUCCCCAGCUGGACACAGUGGCUCACGCCUGGAAUCCCAGCGCUUUUGGAGGCUGGGGUGGGAGGAUCACUUGAGGCUAGCACUUCCAGACCAGCCUGGCCAACAUGGUGAAACCCCGUCUCUAAAAAUACAAAAAUUAGGUGGGCGUGGUGGCAGGUGCCUGGAAUCCCAGCUACUCGGGAGGCUGAGGCAGGAGAAUCGCUUGAACCCAGGAGGCGGAGGUUGCAGUGAGCUGAGAUCACACCACUGUGCUCCAGCCUGGGCAAGAGAGCGAGACUCCAUCUCAAGAAAAUAAGAAUAAAAAAUCAUCGUCUCCGACCUCACACUUCACACACACACACCCCAGUGCCUCUCCCCCCACAGUCUUCGUUACCUCCAUAAACGGAAACUCCUUCCAGCUGCUUAGGCUUCACACUUUGAAGCCAUCCUCUAUUCCUCUUGGUCCUUCACUUCAUAGGUGUCAUCAGCAAACCCCACUUGCCCUACCAUCAAAAUAUAUUCAGAAUCCCUCUCAUCUCCUUUCUCUUUACCAUCCUAGAGCAAGACAUCAUUAUCUCACCUCUGGAGUAUUCUAGCGGCCUCCUAGCUGGCCUCCAUACAGUCAGAUGGAUUCUCUCAGCCACUGAAAACCUCCACAGGUUCUUUUUCCCUGGCCCUGGCCCCCUCCCUCUGAGCUGCUCUCCCACCCACUGUCCCUUGCCCACUCUGCUGCGGCCACUCUGGCCCUUUCCUGAUCCUUGAACAAGGUGAACACUCUUCAGCCUCCAGCGAGCUCACUCUUCCCACAGAUAUUUGUGUAGCUUUAUCCCUUCGCUUUCUUCAUGCCUCUGUGGAAAUGCCACCUCAAACUACCUAAAAUGGCUUUCCCUCCUCCAUUGCACUCUUCCCCCUUAUUUCACCAUAUUUUUCUCCAUUGCAUUUAGCACAGCUCAGCAUAUUACCUACUCACUAGUUGGUUUAUUGUCUGCCAUCCCUCUGCUGGAACAUAAAGUCAGGGAGGGCAAGACCUUCAUUUUGCCUGCUGCUAAAUCCCCAGUGCUUGGUAUCUAGUAGACGCUCAAUGAAUAUGUGUUAAAUGGGGGAUUAAAAAGCCCUUAGGGGCCCAGGCGCGGUGGCUCACACCUGUAAUCCCAGCACUUUGGGAGGCCGAGGCGGGCAGAUCACCUGAGGUCAGGAGUUCAAGACCAGCCUGACCAAUAUGAUGAAACCCCAUCUCUACUAAAAACAAAAAUUAGGUAGGCACAGACGUGUGCCUGUGGUCCCAGUUACUCGAGAGGCUGAGGCAGGAGAAUCUCUUGAAGCUGGGAGGCAGAGGUUGCAGUGAGCCAAGAUCGUACCACUUCACUCCAGCCUGGGCCACAGAGCAAGACUCUGUCUCAAAAACAAACGAACAAACAAAUCCCUUAGGGUUCAUUCAGUACAAACGUGUCACUUUAUAGACAAAGAUGCCGAGACCAGAGAGGACAACUGUCCAGAUGGGGCCACUUGGAAGAUUAACAAUGGUGCUGGAACAAGUGCCCGAGUGCCUUGACACCCAGCCAGCUCUGCUAAAGUAGACACCCAGCGUGCACGUUUAGGUGUAUCAUACAACACUUAGUUUUCUCUCCAUAAUAUACUCUGAUGCUUAUAGUCCGUCUAUUUCAUUUUUUUAAAAAUGCUGACCACACUCAAUUAAAUUAAUUUCAUGUCCUAUUAAUGGGUUGUGACCCAAAGUUUGGAAACAGAACACUAAGGCCGGGUGCAGUGGCUCAUGCCAGUAAUCCCAGCACUCUGGGAAGCUGAGGCGGGCGGAUCACUGGAGGUCAGGAGUUUGACACCAGCCUGACCAACAUGGUGAAACCCCGUCUCUACUGAAAAUGCGAAAAAAAAAAAAAA
rnacentral:lncRNA from 1 species